rnacentral:rRNA from 1 species
AUUGAACGCUGGCGGCAGGCUUAACACAUGCAAGUCGAGCGGGGUGAUGGUGCUUGCACUAUCACUUAGCGGCGGACGGGUGAGUAAUGCUUAGGAAUCUGCCUAUUAGUGGGGGACAACAUCUCGAAAGGGAUGCUAAUACCGCAUACGUCCUACGGGAGAAAGCAGGGGAUCACUUGUGACCUUUCGCUAAUAGAUGAGCCUAAGUCGGAUUAGCUAGUUGGUGGGGUGAAGGCCUACCAAGGCGACGAGCUGUAGCGGGUCUGAGAGGUUGAUCCGCCACACUGGGACGGAGACACGGCCCAGACUCCUACGGGAGGCAGCAGUGGGGAAUAUUGGACAAUGGGGGGAACCCUGAUCCAGCCAUGCCGCGUGUGUGAAGAAGGCCUUAUGGUUGUAAAGCACUUUAAGCGAGGAGGAGGCUCUUUUGGUUAAUACCCAAGAUGAGUGGACGUUACUCGCAGAAUAAGCACCGGCUAACUCUGUGCCAGCAGCCGCCGCCG